UUUACCAAUUACCUGUACACCGCCGAGUACAGGGAAAUGAUCCCCACCACGACCCCUCAAGCACAACAGCCCUUAUUCGAUUAUUCUUGUUCGAAGAUCCGUGCAGAGUGCUUCAUAUCGCAUGAGCACAAAAUAGUGAAUAGGUAGCGAUUGCCAGCGCAGCUGUCAGUUGCGGACUUGCAGUACGGCGGUGGUGUUCGGCAGUGCUGGCCGACGUUCGUCGCCCCGAGAUGUAGGCAUGUCGAAGUCGCUGUCAAGUAAAUUGCAAUAAAUCAUCAUCUUAUUAGCCGCUAUUUUCAAUUAUCUUCUUUUGGACUUCCGUUUACGAAUCUGUUGAUCUGGGCAAUAUUACAGGUGGUUUGCGGCAAAGUGGAGGACGUCACGCUGCCCUGUAAUGUGAAUAUUAUUGUUUCUGAUUGGAUGGGGUUCUAUAUGUUACAUGAGAGCAUGUUGGACAGCGUUAUCAUAGCGCGUGACAAGUUUUUAAAACCAGACGGCCUGAUGUUUCCGUCUCAUUGUACGCUCUAUGCAUCUCCAUGUGUAUUACCAGAUCUCUAUUCGGAGUGGGACAAUGUUUGUGGUGUGAAAAUGCGGUCAUUCGCACAAGCAUUGCGUAGCUUGUACUUGAAUAGACCAAAAAUCACGAGCAUUGAAGUUGAGAAUGUGCUUUCUCGUAAUGUCAGUCCCAUUGCAGAAUUUAAUCUUAAGAAUUGUCAACCACAACAGCUUGAUAAAAUCACGGCACAACGAUACAUUACCAUUGUUGAGAAGAGCGGAAUUUAUCAAGGAGAAGAUUUUAAAUUGGAAUAUGAAGAAUAAAUCAGCAAAAGAAACAUACAUUAUGGAUCAGCAUUCAGCAGCACCCAACAUUACCAAAAAAAUAUUUAUCUAUGGAACAAAUUACAUGGCUGUGUGGUAGCCAUAGAUAAUAGAAAUAUUCUUCUGUUAUCUAUGGUGGUAGCAGUGUAGCGACAACUACCACGGAAUAGAUGAAAUAGAUGCAACUACUACAGCACAGCCAGCAGCUGCAGAUAGCACUAUCUAUGGAAUCCAUAGACAUAAAUCUAUCGAAUUUCUUUUUUAUAUAGUCCGCGGUAGUGUAAAACUGUAUCUCUGAAAUCAGUAUUUAACAGCUGCUGGUUAACAUUCGGUUGACACUUUUUCAAGAUUCGUUGUAUCUUUAUCGUGGUAGACUGUGGUAGCGGCGCUAUCAGCAACCACACUAUAUAAUCACUAAAUGGCAAAUGCUAUCAGAUCCAGAUGUGCGACGGAGUAUCACGGACCUUCUGACCUUAUACCGAGUCUAUGCGGAGUAUGAUCAUUGAUCUUCGACA